rnacentral:rRNA from 1 species
UACGUAGGAUGCAAGCGUUGUCCGGAUUUACUGGGCGUAAAGCGCGCGCAGGCGGCACUCUAAGUACGUCGUGAAAUAUCCCGGCUCAACCGGGAGGGUGCGAUGUAGACUAGGGAGCUAGGGGUCGGGUAGAGGGGGGUGGAAUUGCUGGUGUAGCGGUGAAAUGCGUAGAGAUCAGCAGGAACACCCGUGGCGAAGGCGGCCCCCUGGGCCGAUAAAAAGUCCUGUCAAGGGAAACCUUGGCUGGUACCUGACGCUGAGGCGGCGAAGGCUAGGGGAGCGAACGGGGAUUAGAAACCCCCUGU